rnacentral:rRNA from 1 species
UGCUUAGCCAUAAAUCCAAACCACACCAAUAAACGCCAGGGAAUUACAAGCCACGCUUCAAACCCAAAGGACUUGACGGUGCCCCAUCCAACUAGAGGAGCCUGUUCUAUAAUCGACAAUCCCCGUUCCACCUCACCUUCAUUGGAUACCCCAGCCUGUAUACCUCCGUCGUAAGCUUACCGUAUGAACGCAUAACAGUAAGCCCAAUCAACAACCCCAAAGACGUCAGGUCAAGGUGCAGCUCAUAUGAAGGAAAGCAAUGGGCUACAGUUUCUACAUUAGAACACACGAAAAAUCGUAUGAAACUAUGAUUCAAAGGCGGAUUUAGUAGUUAGAGGGAAGCAGAGAGCCCCUCUUAAUUAGGACCUGGGUCGCGU